rnacentral:rRNA from 1 species
AUUGAACGCUGGCGGCAGGCUUAACACAUGCAAGUCGAGCGGAGAUGAGGUGCUUGCACCUUAUCUUAGCGGCGGACGGGUGAGUAAUGCUUAGGAAUCUGCCUAUUAGUGGGGGACAACAUUCCGAAAGGAAUGCUAAUACCGCAUACGCCCUACGGGGGAAAGCAGGGGAUCUUCGGACCUUGCGCUAAUAGCUGAGCCUAAGUCGGAUUAGCUAGUUGGUGGGGUAAAGGCCUACCAAGGCGACGAUCUGUAGCGGGUCUGAGAGGAUGAUCCGCCACACUGGGACUGAGACACGGCCCAGACUCCUACGGGAGGCAGCAGUGGGGAAUAUUGGACAAUGGGCGGAAGCCUGAUCCAGCCAUGCCGCGUGUGUGAAGAAGGCCUUUUGGUUGUAAAGCUCUUUAAGCGAGGAGGAGGCUACCUGGAUUAAUACUCUAGGAUAGUGGACGUUACUCGCAGAAUAAGCACCGGCUAACUCUGUGCCAGCAGCCGCGGUAACAC